rnacentral:rRNA from 1 species
AGAGUUUGAUCCUGGCUCAGAAUGAACGCUGGCGGCAGGCCUAACACAUGCAAGUCAAACGGCUUCUUCGGAAGCAGUGGCGCACGGGUGCGUAACACGUGGGAAUAUACCCUUAGGUAUGGAAUAACUCAGUGAAAACUGUGCUAAUACCAUAUAAUAUCUCCGGAUCAAAGAUUUAUCGCCUAGGGAUUAGCCCGCGUCUGAUUAGUUUGUUGGUGAGGUAAGAGCUCACCAAGACUACGAUCAGUAGCUGGUCUGAGAGGAUGAUCAGCCACACUGGAACUGAGACACGGUCCAGACUCCUACGGGAGGCAGCAGUGAGGAAUAUUGCACAAUGGAGGAAACUCUGAUGCAGCCAUGCCGCGUGAGUGAAGAAGGCCCUAGGGUUGUAAAUCUCUUUCAGUAGUGAAGAUAAUGACGGUAACUACAGAAGAAGCUCCGGCUAACUUCGUGCCAGCAGCCGCGGUAAUACGAAGGGAGCGAGCGUUAUUCGGAAUCACUGGGCUUAAAGCGUGCGUAGGCGGAUAGGAAAGUCAGAAGUGAAAUCCCAGAGCUCAACUCUGGAACUGCUUUUGAAACUUCCAAUCUAGAAUUCGGUAGAGGCUGAUGGAAUAUCAAGUGUAGAGGUGAAAUUCGCAGAUAUUUGAUGGAACACCAGUGGCGAAGGCGAUCAGCUGGGCCGAUAUUGACGCUGAGGUACGAAAGCGUGGGGAGCAAACAGGAUUAGAUACCCUGGUAGUCCACGCCGUAAACGAUGUGUGCUAGUUGUUGGGGCCUUAAGGCUUCGGCGACGGAGAGAAAUCAUUAAGCACACCGCCUGGGGAGUACGGCCGCAAGGCUAAAACUCAAAGGAAUUGACGGGGACCCGCACAAGCGGUGGAGCAUGUUGUUUAAUUCGAAGCAACGCGAAGAACCUUACCUACCCUUGACAUACUGGUCGGGAAUUUCAGAGAUGAUUUUCUUCACUUCGGGUGGACCAGAUACAGGUGUUGCAUGGCUGUCGUCAGCUCGUGUCGUGAGAUGUUGGGUUAAGUCCCGCAACGAGCGCAACCCUUAUCGUCUGUUGCCAUCAGGUUAUGCUGGGCACUCUGGCGAGACUGCCGGUGAUAAGCCGGAGGAAGGCGGGGACGACGUCAAGUCAUCAUGGCCCUUACGGGUAGGGCUACAAACGUGCUACAAUGGCUGUGACAGUGGGCAGCAAGGUCGCGAGGCCAAGCUAAUCUCUAAAAACAGUCUCAGUUCGGAUUGUUCUCUGCAACUCGAGAGCAUGAAGUUGGAAUCGCUAGUAAUCGUGGAUCAGCAUGCCACGGUGAAUACGUUCCCGGGUCUUGUACACACCGCCCGUCAUAUCAUGGGAGUUGGCUUUGCCCGAAGAUCGUGUGCUAACCUUUUGGAAGCAGCGAGCCACGGUAAGGUCAGCGACUGGGAUAAAGUCGUAACAAGGUAGCC